UCCGAGGCCUGUUGGAGUUCGGAUCUCGAUCAAAUAUAAAAAUAGGAGGCUGAUAUCAGUCAAAUUGAAAAUAUUCGAUGCGGAAAUCAAUAUAUAUGCUAAUGAAAAUAUUUUACGGAUGACACUUCGGAUCUCAACAUUGGGUAAGAUAUCAGGUCCUUAGCCCCAACCAAGAUGUUUGGGUUCGUACUUCGAUCCC
rnacentral:lncRNA from 1 species